UACGUAGGGUGCAAGCGUUGUCCGGAAUUAUUGGGCGUAAAGAGCUCGUAGGCGGUUUGUUGCGUCGGCUGUGAAAUCCCGAGGCUCAACCUCGGGUCUGCAGUCGAUACGAGCAAACUAGAGUGUUGCAGGGGAGACUGGAAUUCCUGGUGUAGCGGUGAAAUGCGCAGAGUAUCAGGAGGAACACCGGUGGCGAAGGCGGGUCUCUGGGCAACAACUGACGCUGGAGGAGCGAAAGCCGUGGGAGCGAACAGG
rnacentral:rRNA from 1 species